rnacentral:rRNA from 1 species
AUUCCUGGAUCUCCCUUGGCAAAAACCAUCUCAAGUAAGUCAAGGGUGACCCUGAAGAAUGGCCACUCAUUGUACAUUUCUUUCAGAGUAUGGAUGUUCCUGAUGUCCUUCUGAAUGAUAUGUUUAAAUGCUGCACCAAACCCAAGCCAUACAGGAAGAUGAAACCUUGUCUGUGUCCAAGCAAAGAUCCAUGGAAUUGCACGGAGUGAUUCUAUGCCCCCACUAGGCUUUCUCUUCGAUGGCCGGCUGCCAAUAUUCAUCCGACCAUAUUCAGUCUCAGGUGUUGCCUGAAACAAUGGAUGCACAAGUUAGUACAAAUUAG